AGCGAACGCUGGCGGCAGGCUUAACACAUGCAAGUCGAGCGGGCAUAGCAAUAUGUCAGCGGCAGACGGGUGAGUAACGCGUGGGAACGUACCUUUUGGUUCGGAACAACACAGGGAAACUUGUGCUAAUACCGGAUAAGCCCUUACGGGGAAAGAUUUAUCGCCGAAAGAUCGGCCCGCGUCUGAUUAGCUAGUUGGUGAGGUAAUGGCUCACCAAGGCGACGAUCAGUAGCUGGUCUGAGAGGAUGAUCAGCCACAUUGGGACUGAGACACGGCACAAACUCCUACGGGAGGCAGCAAUGGGGAAUAUUGGACAGUGGGCGCAAGCCUGAUCCAGCCAUGCCGCGUAAGUGAUGAAGGCCCUAGGGUUGUAAAGCUCUUUUGUGCGGGAAGAUAAUGACGGUACCGCAAGAAUAAGCCCCGGCUAACUUCGUG
rnacentral:rRNA from 1 species